rnacentral:lncRNA from 1 species
GUUUUGAAUUAAGCAUCAUACCUGAUAUUUUUCCCCAAAUGAAGAAUCAGUGUAUGUAGAAUCUUUCUGGGAUGCAGAAAUUUCUGCUGGAAUGGAGAAAGAAAACUGUAAGAACUUCUCACAAAGACAAAUGUGCUUAAGAGAGCCUUGGUUUUGUUGGAAGAAAUUACUGCAUAAGUUCAACAAGGAGCCAUAGUCCUGCUUACAACACAGAAAUCUAGCGCUGCCCGUGAUGCUCUGACAGUGGAUAUGAGAGUGGGAAUCACUGGAGCUGAAGUGUUCAAUGAGCCUAAGAAGAGACUAAUAUAAUUUGAAGUUCACAAAGACAGCCAUCAACAAACCAGCAGAAUUAUAGAUGAAGAACUGUUCUGUGGUUUGUUAUGAGAGAGAUCUACUUCUGAAUAAGCUGUGUCUGGUUAGGAAGAAUAAGGUGGAAAGAAAUGCCUUCAUCCCAUUCAAGAUGACACAUGCAGCUCAAAAAAUGGGAACUUUGGGCUGGUUGGAAAUCAAGGCCAUGCUAGACAAGGAGGUCGCCUGA